rnacentral:rRNA from 1 species
UACAGAGGUGCCGAGCGUUAGGCGGAAUCACUGGGCUUAAAGCGUGUGUAGGCGGGCGGGCAAGUACCUUGUGAAAUCCCACGGCUCAACCGUGGAACGGCUGGGUAUACUGCCUGUUUUGAGCCAACUAGGGGCGAGCGGAACAGACGGUGGAGCGGUGAAAUGCGUAGAUAUCGUCUGGAACGCCGAAGGUGAAAACAGCUCGCUGGGGUUGUGCUGACGCUGAGACACGAAAGCCAGGGGAGCGAACGGG